CCACAAGUCUCUUAUUAUGUAGUAUUUAUGGAUCUCACUGAGGCAUUAAUGAGGUUAUGCCUUCCUACAAGUAAGGGUAUAUAUAGUGGAGCUUAAAGGAGUGGCAAUAACAGGGACGAGCAUAGUUGCAAUUCAUAUAUUGUAAAGUCAAACAACGGAUCCACAGAGAAUCAAGGCAUACAAUCAAAUCAAGAUGUGUGUGUAUGGAAUAUGGUGGAUAGGUGUACAUAUAGUAUUUAGUGGCUAAUCCUAAUUCUACUUUUGCUCUUUGAAAAUUACUCCCUCCUUAAAACUUUUCGCAGAAAAACAUGGGCUAUCUUUAUUCUCUCUCUCUUUUUUCAUUACUAUGGGAGUCGGGCAUCGAUGUACCCAUUGUUUUAAUUGCUGGGACACUUGUCCAUCUUUUACUCCACUUUUUUUUCUUUUCUUUUUUCCCCUUUUUUAUUUAAUACUUUUGCAUAGCCACAUGCAUCCUUUGAAUAUAAAUAAUUUUGGAGAUAAUGAUAAGAACUUAGAGCAAUGAAAUGGGGGCUGUCCUAUAGGGUCUAUUUUUGAGUGUUUACUCCUAGUGCAGGAGAAAACAUUAUUAAGAUGGAUCUGGAUGAGAAUGGAAAAUAAUUGUGCUUACUCCCAGAGUAGGAGCAAUGCCUAUGUAGGUGGAGUGCGUGAGUGAUCUUGAUUUUAAAAGCAUGACAAGACUCUCAUAAAGUAUACAACAAAGGUUGACUAAACUCACUACAAAGCAAGCAGCAUGAAUGUGCAAAAGGUUUUCCUAACUCUAAAUGUACCAUAUAUGGCUUUGGUAGGAGUUAACUUUAUCAUACAAGAGCUCAUCAUGUAAGGUUUUGGGUUUUCAAAAUAAAUCUCUAAAACUUAGUAAUGCUAGGAAUAAGAUAAAGAGCUACUAAGACCAUCAUGUAUCAUAUCAAUCAGUUACCUAGAUUUAGCUCAAGCAUAUGCCUCCACAAAUUUUAGGUUUAGAGUAAAUUAUCAAAGUGGUCAUG
rnacentral:lncRNA from 1 species